CGGUUACAGCCGAAUCGAAGCCGUCUUCGCAUCGCUUCCUACCAACGAAUACGAUCGGAGCCUUUAGGGUUCUUGCCCGUUCCCCGCUUUCCCUCUAUCCGUUCGCGCUUCCAUUAGGGUCUUGUUUGCCGGAUCAGGGCUGGUUAGGGUUCCUUUUCGCGUUCAAAGUAUUGUGCGUGCCUUGAUUCCGGCGAUUUCAUGGCUGGCGGUAAUUUCUUGGGGAGAAUCAUCAGCUAUGUUGUCAACGAGUUGGUCGUCGAGGGCCUUGCCAAUAACCCUAGCUUUCAAAGGUUUGCUGUGAGAACGUCUAAAGCUAUUGAAGAAGCAUCUACCAAAGCUUCUCGGGCUAAAGAACAAUUUGUCGAGCAAUUGAAGAAUGCUACAAAAGAUGAUCCAUACAAGAAUCAUUGAAUUCCCCACAAAGGAGCUUGUUUGAUGGGCAAGGUCAUGUGUUUGCAGUUACGUGUCCAUAGUAUUUGCUAAUGCCUAAACAUAGAGAGCUAGUGCACUAUUUGUGAUGAGUAUUAAUGCUAUUGAGUUCUGUCAAACUUAUGAUUACUUAGCACUGUUUCACUGAGUAAAGGGUACAUGCCCAACUCUCUGAACAAGAGCUUAUCUAGCUUAUCACCGGCCUUUGUGUUUCGAUCCUCAAGUUGUUUAUGACAGCUUAUCUAGCUUGCAGUCACAUUGUUUGAGUA